rnacentral:rRNA from 1 species
AACGAACGCUGGCGGCAUGCCUAACACAUGCAAGUCGAACGAGACCUUCGGGUCUAGUGGCGCACGGGUGCGUAACGCGUGGGAACCUGCCCUUAGGUUCGGAAUAACUCCCCGAAAGGGGUGCUAAUACCGGAUAAUGUCUUCGGACCAAAGUUUUAUCGCCUUUGGAUGGGCCCGCGUUGGAUUAGCUAGUUGGUAGGGUAAAAGCCUACCAAGGCGUCGAUCCAUAGCUGGUCUGAGAGGAUGAUCAGCCACACUGGGACUGAGACACGGCCCAGACUCCUACGGGAAGCAGCAGUGGGGAAUAUUGGACAAUGGGCGAAAGCCUGAUCCAGCAAUGCCGCGUGAGUGAUGAAGGCCUUAGGGUUGUAAAGCUCUUUUACCCGGGAUGAUAAUGACAGUACCGGGAGAAUAAGCUCCGGCUAACUCCGUG